GGCAAUGCUAGCCCGCCAGGCUCUCUCCACCUUUUCCCUCUCGCCCUGCGCCUCCCCUGGGGACGCGGCUCCCUGCCCGCCCAGUGGCUGCGGCGGUGAUCGAGCGCAGGUCUUCUGUCAUCUCCGGAAUUCUUUGAAUGAGGUCAUCUGACCCCUGAGACUUCAUCUUCUAGCCUCAAAACCGUGCCAAUGCCUUUUUUUAUCAAGAGUGAAUGGGGGCAGAAUAGCACUUCAUUAUCACCAAAUUAAGACUGGAGAACAGAGCACAGCUCAAAUGCUGCUAUUUACUGUUUCUCCAGGCAAUAAUGCACAAUCUGUCUCCACUAUCUCCUAUUGGAGAGAACAAGAUUCCAUCAGGCAAUUAAAUAUGAGUCAGGCAUUUGCCAUAUUCAGAAUUCCUCUCUCAGGCAAUAAAAAAAGUGUUCUAUGGGCUGUGUUAGUUAUCUGAUGAGGUUUUUGUGUUGCUUGCCAGUCUAUGCUCUCAAAUGUUUUUAAUGCAAAUUAAAUCUUCCUAUUUUAUCAAGACAUCAUUUUUGAACACACAGGAAUUUUUAUUUGAGGGUGUACGAGCAGGGCACCCUCAGUCGAACGUGUGUUUAGAUGCCCCCACUCGUGUUCUCCCCAACUGGGGUAGGUCCUCAGUAUCCCUUGCUAGCUCUGUCCUGUUGCCAGGCACUUGGUUCGCUCGCUAUUGCUGGUCUGUGGUGGUAGGAGGGUCUGGGCCUGCCCUCUCUCAUGGGCCCCAGCCCAGGGCCCUAAGGACAGGUUCGCUGGAACCUGUCCAGCCAGUGGGGCUAACACCCGCAACUCACCGGCUCACCAGCUCCAAGCCCUGCCCUGGGCUACUUCCUACCCCACAGUCUCUCCUUAGACCCACUGCCAUCCCCGGGUUUCCGACUCCCUGUCCAGGGGCUGCCACGCCCGGGCGUGCUCCCUCCCAGGUUCCUCCUCUCCUCGGGUGGCCUCCUUCCUCCCUGCCUCCUACCUGGGUGUCUUCCUUCUCCCGGGUGCCCCCCCUCUCCUACCUCUUCCCCGGGUUUAAAUGUGCUGCGCCAGCGUCCUCCCGGCGUGAUGUCAGCCGCCACGCACGUCACGGCUGACAUGCAGCCUGCC